UGAAGAGAGUCUUUGAACUUUAGUCAAUUCGUUUUUCGUUUCUUGCAAGUUGUGCCCGCUGCAGAGCAAAAUGGGCGGAGCUGGAGCUCUAGCGAGGCGGGGCACCCUCGCUGGAUCUAGUGGGCGUGGCAGCAUCAAGUGCGCACUGCGCAGGCGCAGAUAGAGUUUGUUUAAACUUGCUGUACAGCCUGUAUCAAGUACUCCGGAGUAUUGCACGGUGCACCAGACAAUACUUUUGCGAGGACAGGAUUUUAUGCUGUCUAUAUCACUGUGCCUAGUGCCUACUGUAAAUAAGCAUUUACACGAGCUCUGAAAUCAUGCAGUUCAACAAAAAGAUUUUAUCAUCAUCAAGCAUGGUCUCAAGUACAGACGAUCCCACACUUUCACUGCUGUUACUGUACAUCAACAUUUUAAAAUGUGUAAAAAUCCAGCCUCUGGACAACCUACCAUUGGCUGCAGCACCACCUUCAUCCCCAGCAUCAGCACCUUUAUUUCCCCUCGACAUUGGAACAUGUCUGUACUGAUUUUGAGGGUGCCCCUCAACAGCUAGGAGGAAUUGAUUGUGGGGUAUUUAUGUUGAUGUCAAGUCCCACAACUACUCACCCAGAAAGUAACAUAUGCAGAUAACAUGAAAUUCACUCCACCUGAGUCAGAUGUCAUGGAGAUCAUCCAGACACCAGAAGUAGAUGUAUGUAGCGGGAAUGUUUAUGUACUGAUUGACUUGUUUAACUUGUUAAUGUGUGUAUUAACCUUUCCUGUUUCAUGAAUUUGUUUAUGAGCAGUACAUCAUUUUUAAUUAUAUUAUUAUUGGAAUUCUUAUAUAGCACACAGGACUCAGCGGUGAUGAGAAACAUUCAGCUGAACUGUAAGUGGCUAAAGGAGACCACUUGCUGGGAAGAUGAGCUGCAAAAGAUCUAAAGGAUGAUGUCCUGUUGGCUAUAACAAUGUUGGACUUGUUUAUAAACACCAUGUUUUAUGAGGGUGAAAGGAAUGAAGAAGAAAUGUCGAUUCCCUUCCCUUUUAUAUUUUAGAGAAGAGCAGGAGAUAUAUGAGACAAAAGAGUUAUUCGUGGGUUUUGUUUACACCAUUAAAUGUUUGUGUGAACUGUGAAGUGAUGUGUUCUUGAAAUAAAUUUAUAA